rnacentral:rRNA from 1 species
AUUGAACGCUGGCGGCAUGCCUUACACAUGCAAGUCGAACGGCAGCACGGGUGCUUGCACCUGGUGGCGAGUGGCGAACGGGUGAGUAAUACAUCGGAACAUGUCCUGUAGUGGGGGAUAGCCCGGCGAAAGCCGGAUUAAUACCGCAUACGAUCUACGGAUGAAAGCGGGGGACCUUCGGACCUCGCGCUAUAGGGUUGGCCGAUGGCUGAUUAGCUAGUUGGUGGGGUAAAGGCCUACCAAGGCGACGAUCAGUAGCUGGUCUGAGAGGACGACCAGCCACACUGGGACUGAGACACGGCCCAGACUCCUACGGGAGGCAGCAGUGGGGAAUUUUGGACAAAGGGCGAAAGCCUGAUCCAGCAAUGCCGCGUGUGUGAAGAAGGCCUUCGGGUUGUAAAGCACUUUUGUCCGGAAAGAAAUCCUUGGCCCUAAUACGGUCGGGGGAUGACGGUACCGGAAGAAUAAGCACCGGCUAACUACGUG